UCAAACAUUAUCUCCAGAAAGAGGAAAAGAUUGAAUAAAGUAGCGUUAGCAUAGAAAUCUCUUCUUUGAAUGAAUUCGUCAAGUCUGAGCCUCUGUCAUUGCACCUCCUCUUCUAUAGCUGGGGUGCCUUUUGUUAUUUUGCUGCAGAGCGAUCAGAAAGCAUUUCUCACCGACUGCAUCCGCUUCGCUGUACCGGGAAGGACACUGGAAAGUGGGGAAACUGAGACACCAGCAGGUUCAGGACCCUGCCCAAGGUCGCAGAACUAACUGGUAGUGGAGCUGGGAUUUGAACCCAGAAAUCAGACACCUGAGCCUUAUUCUUGAUUACUUUGCCACAGACAGAAAUGAAGACAAAAAACACCUGUGGGCCCACCAACCAGCACCAUCGCCACCAUGAACAUUUGCAUACAAUUUCUCCUGAGGUUGCAUUGACUUCCGGCUUCUGACCCCACCCCUUGCCCCUGUUAGGACUUUGUGGGAAUCUCGUCCAGCCUUGGCUUGGAGCCACGGGUCACCUCCACUGCAAGGCAUCCUGAGCACCCACCAUGACCCAGCGCGGAGUGGGCGUCUGGGGUCCAAGGACUCUGCAGGGCCACAGCCUUCCCAAAUGAGCCCUUACUGCGGGGACCCUCUGCGCUCCUGUGCUGAGAACAGCAGAGCCUUGGGAGAAAG